UAAUAAAUCUCAUUCCUAAAAUUCACGAACUGUAGGGUUCUCUCCUAAGUUCACAGAUCUGAGCUUUUCUCCUCUAUCUUUCUUUCCAUGGCCUCCUGAUCUUUUCUGCACAACUAGACUUCUCCAUUUUUAGAUCUGGUGCUACCCUAUUUCUCUUCCUUAUUUUCUUAUUUUCCCCUUCUUCUCUUCACCUCUGUCUUUUUCUCUUCCUUAUACAUGGUUCUCAAAUCUUGACGCCAAACGAGAUCGAGAAGUUCUUUUCUCCUAUCUCUCAGUAUUUCUAGGUCAAAAAACUUCCAAUUGGGUCUCGAUUGUUGCCCAUAGAGUCAAAUCUGCAAAAAAUUUCUAGGUUUGCAAAAUUCAGGCAUGCGUUAGUGGAAAUCAGGGGAAACCUCUUCAAAUUCAGCCUUGGUACAAGGUGGCUUUUGAGAAAAAUUGCACUGCUCUGAAAAUCGGAUUCACAAUUUCACAAUGACAUACAGGUACAAAAUGAAUUUAUUUUCUUCUUCUUUUUUCGCCAGAUUGGUAGAUAUAUGUUCUUAGAGUUGGAUCUGUUAUUUCAGUAAAGGCUGACCAGAGUUUUUGUUUUUGUUUUCAUUUGUGGAAAAAAAGUGGCUUAGAAGUUAGAACAAUAACGGAUUCUUUAAACAAAGGAGAGACAAAUUGUUGACUCAAGUACUGGUAUAGGAGAUUUCAGCACUAAAUUGACUAAGAAAAGACUGAAUUUUUUUUAAAAAAACAUGGACUUUUGUUGCAAAAUACAUAUUGUGGUGCCCUAGUAUGAGUUUGAAUUAUUGGGCCACCAAUGUUACUAGUUCAGGUUUGUCUUAAGCUAGCCACAGAACCUGAUUUUAUUUAUUUAUUUUUCAUUUUUCCUUUUAACUUUUUCUUAACCUGAUUUUAUUUAUUUAUUUUUCAUUUUUCCUUUUUAACUUUUUCUUAUACACAUGGAUUUUACUUGAGGCAUGGCUACCUAGUCUUCUAGGUAGAAGAAAGGGAUAUUGAAAUUUAUUUUCUCUUAAUAUGGCUAUUGGGGAUAUAAGGAGUACAUGGAUUUUAAAGGAUGAGAAUGGUGAAGAUAGAUGUGGAGUCAUCAGAACAACAAGUGCAUGAUUCCAAUCUUAAACCUUCAGCAGACAGGUACAUGCUAUAGUACAUUAGCUGGUCAGAUGGUAGUCUUGAAGAAAAAAGAUUGAUACGAUCAUGGAAACUUAAACUACAAAGACAAGUGUUAUGGAAAGUCAAGCUUCUAAGUUAGAAGUUUUAUGUUUUAUCGUACUAGAUAGCUUGGUUUAUUUCACCAUGUAUUAGGAGUUUUUGAAUGUUUGUAUCAAAAUAUUCUACUUUAAUGGAUAUUAAAUUUCAGCUUGACAUUUUUUUAA